AAGCUCAUUUUCACAACCUACAAAGUUAGAGUCCUUAGAUUUGUCAUUUAAUGACUUGUCGGGAUCAGUACCUGAAUUUUUAGCUGAACUACUAAAAUUGAGAGUACUUAACUUGACUGGCAACAAGCUUACAGGUUCCAUUCCCAAGGCUCUCAAGGAAAAGGCAGAUUUGAUAUUGAGUUUGGAGGAUAAUCCAGGCCUUUGUCCGGAGGAUUCGUGCAAGAAGCAGAAGUUUGUCAUUUCACU